rnacentral:pre_miRNA from 1 species
AGUCGCUACAUAGCGAUCGAGCUUGGCUCGGGCGCUCGGUCGCUACGUAGCGACCGAGCUUUGGUUCGAGCUCGGUCGCUACAUAGCGACCGAGCUGUGGCUCGAGCUUGGUCGCUACGUAGCGACCGAGUGGGUCGGACGUUCGGUCGCUAUGCAGCGGCC